GGUCCGUCACUGCGGGCCACAGCGGCACAACCUCUCCCCCCGCGCGCCUCUCGUCGCUGGCUUCAGAGAGAAUAUCGCCGCCUCUCACUGCCUCAGCCUCUGGCCGCCGGCUUCAGAGAAGAGGAGAGCCGCCACCUCUCUGAAGCCUCUCGCCGUCGCCCUCUCCGCCGCCCUCUUCACCGCCUCUUUUCGUUGCCCUUUCUGAAGCUUGCCGCUGCAGGGCCGUCGCCUACCACCGCCGCCCGCCGCUGCAUCCUCUCUCUCUGCCGCCUCUGGCCGCCGCCACACAGCCCUUACCUCUCUGCCGCCGCCGCCUCUCAGCCUCCUCUUAGUGGUUUGAUCUUUCACGAGUUUGAUAAUAAUCAUGGAAGCCCCCGAAAAAUCUGAAGAAGCCAUCUCUAGUGGAACUCCAAGGAUGGCAGGAACUGUUAACUGGGGCACUGCAACAGUUAUUGGAGUAUUUGCUGGAAUGUUAUAUGGGGGUAGCAAGGAGGCUUCUGCUUCUGUAAGCAAGGAUGCAGAAGUGAUGUUGAAGCUUGGAAGCACUCCAGACAAGCGUGAGCAGUAUCGUUUAAUGAGGGAUGCAAUGGAGAAAAGGUUUAUCAGAGUUACACGUGGCUCUAUAGUUGGAGGAGUGCGCCUUGGAAUGUUUACUGCUUCCUUUUAUGGUUUACAAAAUCUGCUUGCAGAGAAACGAGGAGUACAUGAUGUCUAUAAUGUUGUUGGAGCUGGUUCGGCCACUGCUGCAACAUUUGGUUUAAUAUUGCCUGGAUCACUCCUUUGGCGGGCAAGGAAUGUAGCUUUGGGUUCAGUCUUGGGUGCAGCCAUUUGCUUCCCUCUCGGUUGGCUGCAGUUAAAGCUCAUAGAGAAAGCGAAUGAAGGGAGAUCAGCUGGUUAUCCAGACUCCAACAAUAGUAAAGAAGCAAAAAGUGGUGUCGGUGCUGCAAUUGAGAGGCUUGAAGGGCAUCGGAGCAAAUAGAAUAGCUGCUAGGUUUAAUUGCUUUCCUUGUUCCAAACUUAGAAGCAGAAAGUUCGCAUUUUGUGUUCCUCAAGCACGAUCAUAGGUUUGGCGGCUACUGGGCUUCUAGCUUGAAGGAAACUGGGAUGCAUUUGAUCGGCGGGUAAGGAAUUUGGGAACAACAUAUUUCGGCUCAAUUUUCUUUGAAUCGAUGGACCUUAUUCCUCUUGCAGAAAGUGUUGAUUGAAGAAAGGAGACAUUGCUUGCUCAUGCAAGGUUACUAAGAUCUUUAUUAUCAAAUAAAAGCAAAGGGAUUUUGGUUUAAAUGUAGGUAGGUAAUGCGCUUGAGCUUUUGAAAAUUACGAUGGCCUCCCUAUACAUUUAUACAAAAUUUUGUUGCACUACCACCCUUACUCCAUUAAUUUGUUUUCGAUCAUGCCCUCAUUUUUGUGGCAGCAAAGGCAACGACGACAAUAUCAACCACCUUUUCCUUUCUUCAUUCCUUUCUUUUUCACGACCUUUGUGGUUCCCCAUCCUCAGUUUCUUCCUUGAGAUGUUCAACCACUGCUUUUCACUAUCUCUCUCUUUCUCAUCUCUUCUUUGUCACCUUCCCUCCUGUUUUCCUCUCUUAUUCAUGGCCUUUGUGGUUCCCCAUCCUUGAUUUCUGUCUUGAGAUGUUCAACUAUUGCUUUUCACUCUCUCUAUUGCCUUUUCUUAAUGAAACCUUGAAUGUUGCCUCUUCAUGGUUUAUCCCUCUAGGUUUGUACUAUUUAAUUAGGUUCAUUAAGGUAAACUCGGUUCUUUCGAUUUUUGGGAGUUAUCAAUUUCAAGUUCAUCUCAAUUUGUGUGUUUUAGAUCCAUUCAACCCUCCUUUGAUUUGUUGCUUCACACUGAUUAUUGGUGUUUGUUUGUAAUUUUGAUUGUUGGGGCUUGUUGGUCCCCUGCAGAUAUGUUCACUUUUAGGGGUUGUUGGUUCUUUGUUGUAUUUCUUGAUUUUGAUUAUGGAUGUUUGUUGCUUUGGUUUGUUAUUGGUUUACGUGAUAUUGAGACCCUUCAUUGUCCUUCUUUGAGAGCAGAGUUCUUAAGGAGACCUAAUUGAUGAUGUUUGAGUCUAGUCGGGCUUCACUUGAAACAAAUAGCAUAUGAUUCAAGACGAUUUCUAACUGGUGGCAACCAUUGUCAUUAAAACCUUUGCGAUUUCUAACUGGUGGCUUUCAAUGGCCAUUAGGGGUGCCUGGACAUCCACCACUACCAGGUUGUUCUAUUUAUUCAAAAAUUAGGA